AGAAUGUCGCCAUUGAUUGGUGCUGUCUGCCGUGCUGCUCAAUUGGUGCUGUCUGCCUUGCCUGCAGGAUGGGCUGUGGUGACGCACAUGCUAGAUAUUUGCUAACAUUACAGGGAAGUUAACCCAAAAUCCUAAGGUUUGUGUUCUUUUUAAAAAAUCAAGCUAGUUCUUUUGUUUACUGAACUUUGAACAUGGAAUGCAACCCCACAGUUCAAGAUUGGCCCGUGGUUCUCACCUGGAAGUCAUUUUGCCCCCAGGUUACAUUCGGCAAUGUCCAGAGAUAUUUUUGGAUGUCACAACUCAGGGCUGGCGGGGACUGAGGUGCUAUGGGAACCUAGCAAGACGCUGGAACACACCCUGCAAUGCACGGGACGGCCACCCCUGGCAAAACAGCAGCUUGUCUCUGAUGUGACUAGUGCCACGAUCAUUGAGAAAGCCUCUGCCAGACUUUUAUCUAGAAAUCAAUAAACAGAAAUAUCUUCAUUAAGAUA